UGGUGGAGUGAUUUGUCUGGUUAAUUCCGUUAACGAACGAGACCUCGACCUGCUAACUAGGUCGGCGAACACCUCGGUGUUCGACCGGCACUUCUUAGAGGGACUAUCGGUGUUCUAGCCGAUGGAAGUUCGAGGCAAUAACA
rnacentral:rRNA from 1 species